rnacentral:rRNA from 1 species
GACGGAGGAUGCAAGCGUUAUCCGGAAUUAUUGGGCGUAAAGCGUCCGCAGGUGGACAUACAAGUCUGCUGUCAAAGUGCAGAGCUUAACUCUUUAAAGGCGGUGGAAACUGUAGGUCUUGAGUAUGGUAGGGGUAGAGGGAAUUCCCGGUGUAGCGGUGAAAUGCGUAGAUAUCGGGAAGAACACCAGUGGCGAAAGCGCUCUACUGGGCCAUAACUGACACUGAGGGACGAAAGCUAGGGGAGCGAAAGGG